GGGGAAUUUUGGACAAUGGGCGCAAGCCUGAUCCAGCCAUUCCGCGUGAGUGAAGAAGGCCUUCGGGUUGUAAAGCUCUUUCGCAAGGGAAGAAAACUUACAUUCUAAUAAAGUGUGAGGCUGACGGUACCUUGAUAAGAAGCACCGGCUAACUACGUGCCAGCAGCCGCGGUAAUACGUAGGGUGCGAGCGUUAAUCGGAAUUACUGGGCGUAAAGCGUGCGCAGGCGGUUUUGUAAGUCAGAUGUGAAAUCCCCGAGCUCAACUUGGGAACUGCGUUUGAAACUACAAGACUAGAAUAUGUCAGAGGGGGGUAGAAUUCCACGUGUAGCAGUGAAAUGCGUAGAGAUGUGGAGGAAUACCAAUGGCGAAGGCAGCCCCCUGGGAUAAUAUUGACGCUCAUGCACGAAAGCGUGGGGAGCAAAC
rnacentral:rRNA from 1 species